GCUAUAAUGCAAGUCGAGCGAACGGAUAAGGAGCUUGCUCCUUUGAAGUUAGCGGCGGACGGGUGAGUAACACGUGGGUAACCUACCUAUAAGACUGGAAUAACUUCGGGAAACCGGAGCUAAUGCCGGAUAACAUUUGGAACCGCAUGGUUCUAAAGUAAAAGAUGGUUUUGCUAUCACUUAUAGAUGGACCCGCGCCGUAUUAGCUAGUUGGUAAGGUAACGGCUUACCAAGGCAACGAUACGUAGCCGACCUGAGAGGGUGAUCGGCCACACUGGAACUGAGACACGGUCCAGACUCCUACGGGAGGCAGCAGUAGGGAAUCUUCCGCAAUGGACGAAAGUCUGACGGAGCAACGCCGCGUGAGUGAUGAAGGUUUUCGGAUCGUAAAACUCUGUUAUUAGGGAAGAACAAAUGUGUAAGUAACUGUGCACAUCUUGACGGUACCUAAUCAGAAAGCCACGGCUAACUACGUGCCAGCAGCCGCGGUAAUACGUAGGUGGCAAGCGUUAUCCGGAAUUAUUGGGCGUAAAGCGCGCGUAGGCGGUUUCUUAAGUCUGAUGUGAAAGCCCACGGCUCAACCGUGGAGGGUCAUUGGAAACUGGGAAACUUGAGUACAGAAGAGGAAAGUGGAAUUCCAUGUGUAGCGGUGAAAUGCGC
rnacentral:rRNA from 1 species